AUUGAACGCUGGCGGCAUGCCUUACACAUGCAAGUCGAACGGCAGCACGGGUGCUUGCACCUGGUGGCGAGUGGCGAACGGGUGAGUAAUACAUCGGAACAUGUCCUGUAGUGGGGGAUAGCCCGGCGAAAGCCGGAUUAAUACCGCAUACGAUCUACGGAUGAAAGCGGGGGACCUUCGGGCCUCGCGCUUUAGGGUUGGCCGAUGGCUGAUUAGCUAGUUGGUGGGGUAAAGGCCUACCAAGGCGACGAUCAGUAGCUGGUCUGAGAAGGCGACCAGCCACACUAGGACUGUGACACGGCCCAGACUCCUACGGGAGGCAGCAGUGGGGAAUGUUGGACAAUGGGCGAAAGCCUGAUCCAGCAAUGCCGCGUGUGUGAAGAAGGCCUUCGGGUUGUAAAGCACUUUUGUCCGGAAAGAAAUCCUUGGCUCUAAUACAGUCGGGGGAUGACGGUACCGGAAGAAUAAGCACCGGCUAACUACGUG
rnacentral:rRNA from 1 species